CCCCUUUGCUUCUCGGCGGGCCUAUCACGCUCUACAUGGCUAUGACGUCACUGGCCCUUUCUGCUCUCGCCCCCGAGAAGCCUGGCAGAUUCUUCCGAAAGCGCCACAAAUGGCGUCUACCCCUUUGACUGAAGCGACGUCAUUUUUGGCAGCCCUAAAAAACAUGCAUUUCUAUCAUCAAAGCUGUAAAGAGUAAGAAAUACCACAUUUUCUUCAUGGAUCAGCAGCUGGAAAUCUUGGUGACAAAUCUUGACAAAUCUUGGUGACUUUUUUGCAGCAAAUCUUGGUGACUUUUAAGUCACCAAAAAAGGAACCGAAAAAGGAACCUUGCAAUUACACCCC